rnacentral:sRNA from 1 species
AAAAAUGAAAUAUUUCACAAUUUUUCUAUUUGUUUUUAGUCUUUGCAUGCUUGGUCAUGUAUCCGGCGCCGGAAUCAGAAUCGUGAACGAACUCAAAAAUAAGAAAACCCUUUGGAUGAGGUGUUAUUCCAAAAAUGACGUACUUGGUCCAACAAUAAUACCAAAUGGAGGACAAUUUACAGAUUAUUUCUUUCAUAAUUUAUUUGGUACGACGCGUUUUAUGUGUACCUUAAAACAAGGACCUGGAUUUAGUCACAGUCAGAGCUUUAGAGCAUUUAAAAAUUCUGGCUUAUGGGAUUGGAGAGCUAGAGAAGAUGGGAUAUAUUUAAGAAGAAUCUAUAAGGCCAAAUUUGACGACGCUGCAGACAAUCUGCAUAAAGAGCAAAGUUGGAUAUAGUAAAUAGUUACAAGCUACCUCAUUUAUAUAGAAGAUUCAAUACUCUUCAUAAAAC